AAAUUGAAGAGUUUGAUCAUGGCUCAGAUUGAACGCUGGCGGCAGGCCUAACACAUGCAAGUCGAACGGUAACAGGAAGCAGCUUGCUGCUUUGCUGACGAGUGGCGGACGGGUGAGUAAUGUCUGGGAAACUGCCUGAUGGAGGGGGAUAACUACUGGAAACGGUGGCUAAUACCGCAUAACGUCGCAAGACCAAAGAGGGGGACCUUCGGGCCUCUUGCCAUCAGAUGUGCCCAGAUGGGAUUAGCUUGUUGGUGAGGUAACGGCUCACCAAGGCGACGAUCCCUAGCUGGUCUGAGAGGAUGACCAGCCACACUGGAACUGAGACACGGUCCAGACUCCUACGGGAGGCAGCAGUGGGGAAUAUUGCACAAUGGGCGCAAGCCUGAUGCAGCCAUGCCGCGUGUAUGA
rnacentral:rRNA from 2 species